GAACUUUGAAAAGAGAGUCAAAGAGUGCUUGAAAUUGGCAGGAGGAAACCCGGUUGCGCCCGGCGUCGGCGCGUCGACUCAGCCGUGCUCGCGCUUGUCCUGUGCGGACCGCAAGGCCGCUUUGGGUUGGUUUGUGUGCGGUGCACUUCGACGCGUCGGGUCAGCUUUCGCUGCGCGUUGCGAGAGAUGCCGUUGGGUGAGGCCUUGGCGAUCCCAUUCGGAGCGUCGCGAGUGCGGCGUGUUUGAGCUGACGGAACGGGCGCCACCGACCCGUCUAGAAACACGGACCAAGGA
rnacentral:rRNA from 1 species